UAAGAUGACCACCUUUCCUAGUUUGCCUGGGACUGAGAGUUUCUUGGGAGGCUUGGUCUUUCAGUGCCAAAAUGGAGACAGUCCCAAGCCAACCAAGACAAGCUGGUGAUUGGAGCAUU
rnacentral:miRNA from 1 species